UACAGAGGGGGCAAGCGUUAUUCGGAAUUAUUGGGCGUAAAGGGCGCGUAGGCGGCCUGGCAAGUGGAAGGUGAAAUCCCUCGGCUUAACCGAGGAACUGCCUCCCAAACUGCUUGGCUUGAGACCAGGAGAGGUGAGUGGAAUUCCCAGUGCAGCGGUGAAAUGCGUAGAUAUUGGGAGGAACACCAGUGGCGAAGGCGGCUCACUGGACUGGUACUGACGCUGAGGCGCGAAAGCGUGGGGAGCAAACGGG
rnacentral:rRNA from 1 species